rnacentral:rRNA from 1 species
AGUGAACGCUGGCGGUAGGCCUAACACAUGCAAGUCGAACGGCAGCACAGUAAGAGCUUGCUCUUACGGGUGGCGAGUGGCGGACGGGUGAGGAAUACAGCGGAAUCUACUUUUUCGUGGGGGAUAACGUAGGGAAACGUACGCUAAUACCGCAUACGACCUAAGGGUGAAAGCAGGGGAUCUUCGGACCUUGCGCGAUUGAAUGAGCCGAUGUCGGAUUAGCUAGUUGGCGGGGUAAAGGCCCACCAAGGCGACGGUCCGUAGCUGGUCUGAGAGGAUGAUCAGCCACACUGGAACUGAGACACGGGCCAGACUCCUACGGGAGGCAGCAGUGGGGAAUAUUGGACAAUGGGCGCAAGCCUGAUCCAGCCAUACCGCGUGGGUGAAGAAGGCCUUCGGGUUGUAAAGCCCUUUUGUUGGGAAAGAAAAGCAGCACGUUAACACCCCGUUGUUCUGACGUUACUCAAAGAAGAAUCGCGGGCUAACUUCGUG